UACGUAGGGGGCAAGCGUUGUCCGGAUUUAUUGGGCGUAAAGAGCGUGUAGGCGGCCACACAGGUCAGCUGUGAAAACUCGAGGCUCAACCUCGAGACGUCGGUUGAAACCGUAUGGCUAGAGUCCGGAAGAGGAGAGUGGAAUUCCCGGUGUAGCGGUGAAAUGCGCAGAUAUCGGGAAGAACACCCGUGGCGAAGGCGGCUCUCUGGGACGGUACUGACGCUGAGACGCGAAAGCUGGGGGAGCGAACGGG
rnacentral:rRNA from 1 species